AGGAUGAACGCUGGCGGCGUGCCUAAUACAUGCAAGUCGAGCGGCAGCGCGGUCUUCGGACUGGCGGCGAGCGGCGGACGGCUGAGUAACACGUAGGAACGUACCCCAAAGUGAGGGAUAAGCACCAGAAAUGGUGUCUAAUACCACAUGUGCUCUAAGGAGUAAAGCUUCGGUGCUUUGGGAACGGCCUGCGCAUGAUUAGCUUGUUGGUGAGGUAAUAGCUCACCAAGGCGACGAUCAUUAGCUGGUCUGAGAGGAUGAUCAGCCAGACUGGGACUGAGAACGGCCCAGACUCCUACGGGAGGCAGCAGUAGGGAAUUUUCCACAAUGGGCGAAAGCCUGAUGGAGCAACGCCGCGUGCAGGAUGAAGGCCUUCGGGUCGUAAACUGCUUUAUAUGUGAAGAAUAUGACGGUAGCAUAUGAAUAAGGAUCGGCUAACUCCGUGCCAGCAGCCGC
rnacentral:rRNA from 1 species